UUCUUAUUGGAUGGUGACUGUCACGUGUCAUGUUGUGAUUAAAUGUCAACUUCAUGAUGAAAUACAAUGUUGUUUUCAUUGACCAAUCAGAGCAUGACACGUGGCAGUCAUUAUCC
rfam:Glycine max cultivar Williams 82 chromosome 6, whole genome shotgun sequence.